rnacentral:rRNA from 1 species
UGGGUAGUCCGCACGAGCGCACCUCAUCUUCAUUUGCCAUCGGUUCGGCCGGGCACUCUGGAGAAACUGCCGGUGAUAAGCCGGAGGAAGGUGGGGAUGACGUCAAGUCCUCAUGGCCCUUAUGGGCUGGGCUACACACGUGCUACAAUGGCGGUGACAGCGGGAUGCGAAGGGGCAACUCUUAGCCAAUCCCUAAAAACCGUCUCAGUUCGGAUUGUUCUCUGCAACUCGAGAGCAUGAAGUCGGAAUCGCUAGUAAUCGCGGAUCAGCAUGCCGCGGUGAAUACGUUCCCGGGCCUUGUACACACCGCCCGUCACACCAUGGGAGUUGGUUUUACCCGAAGGCGGUGCGCCAACCGUAAGGAGGCAGCCGACCACGGUAAGGUCAGCGACUGGGGUGAAGUCGUAACAAGGUAGCCGUAGGGGAACCUGCGGCUGGAUCACCUCCUUUCU